GAUGAACGCUGGCGGCGUGCCUAACACAUGCAAGUCGAACGGAGAUUUAACGCUGAUGAAGCUUCGGCAGAUUCUUGUUAAAUCUUAGUGGCGGACGGGUGAGUAACGCGUGGGCAACCUGCCUCAUACUGGGGGAUAACAGCUGGAAACGACUGUUAAUACCGCAUAAGCGCACGGUAUCGCAUGAUACAGUGUGAAAAACUCCGGUGGUAUGAGAUGGGCCCGCGUCAGAUUAGCCAGUUGGCAGGGUAACGGCCUACCAAAGCGACGAUCUGUAGCCGGCCUGAGAGGGCGGACGGCCACAUUGGGACUGAGACACGGCCCAAACUCCUACGGGAGGCAGCAGUGGGGGAUAUUGCACAAUGGAGGAAACUCUGAUGCAGCGACGCCGCGUGAGUGAAGAAGUAUUUCGCGUAUGUAAAGCUCUAUGCAGCAGGGAGACGAAAGACUCGUAAGAGAGCAUGACAGGUAC
rnacentral:rRNA from 1 species